rnacentral:rRNA from 1 species
UACGUAGGGUCCAAGCGUUAAUCGGAAUUACUGGGCGUAAAGCGUGCGCAGGCGGUUCGUUAAGUCAGCUGUGAAAGCCCCGGGCUCAACCUGGGAAUUGCGGUUGAAACUGGCGAACUAGAAUCUGGCAGAGGGGGGUGGAAUUCCACGUGUAGCAGUGAAAUGCGUAGAGAUGUGGAGGAACACCGAUGGCGAAGGCAGCCCCCUGGGCUGAGAUUGACGCUCAGGCACGAAAGCGUGGGGAGCAAACCGG